rnacentral:rRNA from 1 species
AGAGUUUGAUCCUGGCUCAGGAUGAACGCUAGCGGCAGGCCUAAUACAUGCAAGUCGAGGGGCAUUCCGGUAGCAAUACUGGAGCGACCGGCGCACGGGUGCGUAACGCGUAUGUAACCUGCCCUCAGCAGGGGGAUAGCCCGUGGAAACAUGGAUUAAUACCCCAUAAAGCAGGGGUGUCGCCUGGCACUAUUUGCUAAAGUUACGACGGCUGAGGAGGGGCAUGCGUCUGAUUAGCUAGUUGGUAGGGUAACGGCCUACCAAGGCGACGAUCAGUAGGGGAUCUGAGAGGAUGAUCCCCCACACUGGUACUGAGACACGGACCAGACUCCUACGGGAGGCAGCAGUGAGGAAUAUUGCGCAAUGGAGGAAACUCUGACGCAGCGACGCCGCGUGAAGGAUGAAGGCCCUCUGGGUCGUAAACUUCUGUAGCUCCACCGCUUGUGUGAGCCCCCGUCAAUUCCUUUGAGUUUUAGCCUCAAAGGAAGCAUCGGCUAACUCCGUGCCAGCAGCCGCGGUAAUACGGAGGAUGCAAGCGUUAUCCGGAUUUAUUGGGUUUAAAGGGUGCGUAGGCGGAUUAGUAAGUCAGUGGUGAAAACCUGCAGCUUAACUGUAGACUUGCCAUUGAUACUGUUAGUCUUGAGUAUGGUCAAGGUAGGCGGAAUGUGUAAUGUAGCGGUGAAAUGCUUAGAUAUUACACAGAACACCGAUUGCGAAGGCAGCUUGCUGGGCCAUUACUGACGCUGAUGCACGAAAGCGUGGGGAUCAAACAGGAUUAGAUACCCUGGUAGUCCACGCCCUAAACGAUGAUUACUCGACAUACGCGAUAUACUGUGUGUGUCUGAGCGAAAGCAUUAAGUAAUCCACCUGGGAAGUACGACCGCAAGGUUGAAACUCAAAGGAAUUGACGGGGGUCCG